UUCAGCUGUAACUCACUGAGGGACCGCACUUUUGUGCAGAUAAAUGGGAUACUAUUAUGUUAAUGAGAAUUUCAAUAUUAAUAAUGUUCCCGUCUAUCGCAAGACAUCAGUUACUGAACAUGUUUUACUGGAAAGGAAACAUGUUGAAGUAAUGAUGAAUCAUAAACCGCCCCAGGCUGGAAACAGAGCAGGGUUAAUGAUCGCUGAUGUACGGUGUGAAGAUUACGGUUGAACAUGUAAAUAUUUCAGAAUUCUCGUUUACGUGAUAUGUACACCAUUUCUCC